GAUGAACGCUGGCGGCGUGCCUAACACAUGCAAGUCGAGCGAUCUUCUUCGGAAGAGAGCGGCGGACGGGUGAGUAACGCGUGGGUAACCUGCCCUGUACACACGGAUAACAUACCGAAAGGUAUGCUAAUACGAGAUAAUAUGCUUUUAUCGCAUGGUAGAAGUAUCAAAGCUCCGGCGGUACAGGAUGGACCCGCGUCUGAUUAGCUAGUUGGUAAGGUAAUGGCUUACCAAGGCGAAGAUCAGCAGCCGACCUGAGAGGGUGAUCGGCCACAUUGGAACUGAGACACGGUCCAAACUCCUACGGGAGGCUGCAGUGGGGAAUAUUGCACAAUGGGCGAAAGCCUGAUGCAGCAACGCCGCGUGAGCGAUGAAGGCCUUCGGUUCGUAAAGCUCUGUCCUCAAGGAAGAUAAUGACGGUACUUGAGGAGGAAGCCCCGGCUAACUACGUGCCAGCCGCCGCCGUAA
rnacentral:rRNA from 1 species